rnacentral:rRNA from 1 species
CUGCGGAAGGAUCAUUACCGAGUUUUCGGGCUUCGGCUCGACUCUCCCACCCUUUGUGAACGUACCUCUGUUGCUUUGGCGGCUCCGGCCGCCAAAGGACCUCCAAACUCCAGUCAGUAAACGCAGACGUCUGAUAAACAAGUUAAUAAACUAAAACUUUCAACAACGGAUCUCUUGGUUCUGGCAUCGAUGAAGAACGCAGCGAAAUGCGAUAAGUAAUGUGAAUUGCAGAAUUCAGUGAAUCAUCGAAUCUUUGAACGCACAUUGCGCCCCUUGGUAUUCCGGGGGGCAUGCCUGUUCGAGCGUCAUUACAACCCUCAAGCUCUGCUUGGAAUUGGGCACCGUCCUCACUGCGGACGCGCCUCAAAGACCUCGGCGGUGGCUGUUCAGCCCUCAAGCGUAGUAGAAUACACCUCGCUUUGGAGUGGUUGGCGUCGCCCGCCGGACGAACCUUCUGAACUUUUCUCAAGGUUGACCUCGGAUCAGGUAG